AUCAAGAUAAAUACUCAACGGUCCACAAGUCUUUGUGAGUGCCAGCCCCUUUCGAAUUUUCUUCUGCUGGACCUCAUUCUCACUAAUUCUCCUCUCUGUCACCAGAACAAAUCAUCUCCUGAUGCCCUCCGUGGUGAUUCUCCCGUCUGUUAUUUAUGACACCCCUCCAGCACUGCUCGGCCCAACAUCUCAGUCGUCUUGUCCUACCAGAUACCUCACUCUGUUUCUGGAUAUGACCGCGUAAACGUGAGGCCCGUCUGUGCUGGGGCCACUUUGCAAUAAUCCAGGAAGUCAGCCCAAAGUGAUGGCAACACCACGGCAAGACAGAGGGACAAAUAAUGACACCAGUGAACUGUUAAUCCUCCUCUUUCCAAUGACAAGACCCACUACGUCCCUAGCGUCAUAGAAAUCAACUUGAUUCUGGUGCCCUUUGACAAGCUCCGGGAAGUGUCCCAAAUGCUGUGAUCUGCCAUUUGUGCUGUGUCCACACAGAGACCCAGCCCUCGCCUUCCCCCACUCUGAGCUCUGACACCACAUAGAGUCUGGAGCACACAAUGACAUCGUAUCACGAUUGGUACUUAUGUUUGUCCAGUUCAUCGUCAGAAGGAUUUCCAGCUGAUAUUUUGGCUGUGGCGGGAAGAGCCCUGGGACUGGGAAUUCUGGUUCUGGAAAGGAUUCCCUCAUGCUUAUGCAGUUCAGUCUCCUUCAGCUGUAACAUGAAGGGAAUUCCUCCCCAGCCUCCUGUCCACACCAAAGCUGUGAGGAGGCUGGGGUCUUUUCAGGGGUCUCCAGGAGCAGUGAGUGCACGGGGAGUCCCGCU
rnacentral:lncRNA from 1 species